UUGACCUCGAAUCAGGUAGGAAUACCCGCUGAACUUAAGCAUAUCAAUAAGCCCGGAGGGAA
rnacentral:rRNA from 1 species